rnacentral:lncRNA from 1 species
AUCAGUCCUGCGUUCACCAAGUUAUGUCUGCCAUAUACCACGGGGAAGCCCAGGGCUGGGUUCUAGAGGAGCCCCUUGGAACCUUUUCCUCCAGUCAAAGCAGGAGACACCUACCCACCAGACAACUCUCUCUUCUGAGGAGGGCCCAGAUUUAUUGUGUUCUUCUGUUCGCAGCUCAGCUCAGAGGAUGAAGCCAGUGAUGGGGAAGGGCCCCAGGUUAGCUCAGCAGAUUUGCAAGCCUUGAUCAGUGGGCACUACCCCACUCCCCCUGGGGAAGAUGGUGGGCCUGACCCAGCCCCAGAAGCUCUGGGUAAGUGGGUCUGUGCACAGCCCUCAAGCCAGAAGGCAACUAAUUACAACCUGCACAUCACAGAGAAGCUCGAAGUGCUGGCUAAAGCCUACAAUGUCCAGGGAGACAAGUGGAGGGCUCUGGGCUAUGCCAAGGCCAUCAACGCCCUCAAGAGCUUCCACAAGCCUGUCAGUUCCUACCAGGUACUUGGGGGUUGGGGAAGAGGUUUCCUCUUUACUCAGUAGUGGCUAGUGAUUAACUAGU